CGCUAGAGGAGGAGCUCGGAAUUUCUCCUCUUCUCUAUCAACUGCUCUCGACAGGGCAAACGCCGAACGGCCAUUUUGAACUUUGGUCGUAGAGGUAGAACGUCGGCGAAAUUUCUUCGCAGUAUCGUGCAUGAAAUGUGAAAUGCGGGACGUAGUUAGUGGCCGGUAUCUGUUGGUUCGGGAAAAAAAGUGUGGAGUGAUGAAGCGUCGUCCAACUAACCUUUGCUGAGAAAAUGUUAACAAGAACCAUACAUCGAGGUGGUAUGUAAUGCAAACCGUAUCCCAAGUUUUGCUUCCAGAGUUACAUGGUCUAGUUCGUAUUGAACUUCCAUUACCAACCCAAGGCCCGCGAUGAUUUGAGAUAUUGGCAGGCUCAAUUCCUCCGUUUCCGUCAGGGAACACCACCUUACCUAUGUAACGGUUGAAAGUAACGCAUGGUGAGUCAGGUAGGCGCUAUGUCAUACAUCUACUGAUUUGCCCAUCCGAAGCAUCUGCAUUUAUACUAAAAUGUAAGGAAAUAAGGUGGAACAAUACAUUAUACGCUUUAGGUGAACCAAUCAGAAAACACAUCGGCGGUGACAUCAUAAAGGCACCAAAUUCAAACCUAAAUAACGUCAACGUAAUUAUCCUUUGUAGGUCAUGAAAAAAACUUGAUAUUUUGUCCUUCAGCGUUUAUGACUGGUAUUUUCAGCAAACAGAAUAUUCGAAACUAAAUAAGAAACCUCAAGCAAUCUACUUACGUGCAAUCAGUUGUCAGAUACACGGGUACCAUGUUACAUUUCUGUGACGUCAUCUUUGAUAUGCGCAGAUUGUAGAUGCGCAGUUUUUCAAUUUCUUCAUCAUCUCUUACCAGAUUCUUUGCCGUCGGAGUUCGAAUCGUGCAUCCUAGUCGCACCGCCUUGGUUCCCAAUUUAAACUUCCCUGACGCCCUGAUGAUGACCGCCAGUGUCCCAUAAUCAUCGUCAACUUCUUUUUACUUUUCAGGAAACGCCUUCACCAUGGUAAUAAUUUGACUAAGGAUAUUAUGACACAUAACAACCUUAUAUACUUUAUGUUUGUGCAACAUGCUCUACCUGCUUCGUAAUGUCAAAUUUGAACAUAUCUUCGCGGUUAAACUCAUCUGUUUCUUGUUCGUUUAUAUUUCUGCCAGCUGACUUGUGUCAGUCUGAAACUUAGCCUCUGCCAACUCUGAAAUAUCUUGUCUCCUAACCCUGCCUUGAUUCCACGUUACGUGUACGCAAUAACUAUUUUACAUACAAUUGAAACAGGUUUACAUGGAACCGGCCGCGUUUCGCUCCUAGAAUCGAAUUUUCUAAUAGUUGCCACCAAGACUUUAUCAUGAGCAGCUUGGAGUGUGAUGUGCUGGCCGUGAUGUCGGAGUGGUUGGCAGAAUAUCCAACGGACCAACUUGAACGAUGGGAGGAAGUGUGGGACUGGAUUUUUCAAAAAACAUACUGCUUGAAGGAAAAAUAUGUGGUUACCAGAGGUGGAGAGGCAGUAUCCCGGGACUGUUGCGAUGGUUUUCUCGAUCCCUACUCGACGAGGGAGACCUACUGGCUCGUAGAAAGACACAGUACUCCA